UACGUAGGGGGCUAGCGUUAUCCGGAAUUACUGGGCGUAAAGGGUGCGUAGGUGGUUUCUUAAGUCAGAGGUGAAAGGCUACGGCUCAACCGUAGUAAGCCUUUGAAACUGGGAAACUUGAGUGCAGGAUAGGAGAGUGGAAUUCCUAGUGUAGCGGUGAAAUGCGUAGAUAUUAGGAGGAACACCAGUUGCGAAGGCGGCUCUCUGGACUGUAACUGACACUGAGGCACGAAAGCGUGGGAGCAAACAGG
rnacentral:rRNA from 1 species